rnacentral:rRNA from 1 species
CCUACGGGAGGCUGCAGUGAGGAAUAUUGGUCAAUGGCCGGAAGGCUGAACCAGCCAUGCCGCGUGAAGGUCAGUGCCCUAUGGGCGUUAAACUUCUUUUGUGCGGGAGCAAUAAUGGUCACGUGUGGCCAGACGAGAGUACCGUACGAAUAAGCAUCGGCUAACUCCGUGCCAGCAGCCGCGGUAAUACGGGGGAUGCAAGCGUUAGCAGGAUUUAUUGGGUUUAAAGGGUGCGUAGGCUGUGAGGUAAGGCAGCGGGGAAAUGCCCCCGCCCAACGGGGUGAAGUGCCAUUGAUACUGCCUUGCUGGAAUGCGGAUGCCGUGGGAGGAAUGUGUGGUGUAGCGGUGAAAUGCAUAGAUAUCACACAGAACACCGAUUGCGAAGGCAUCUCACGAAUCCGCGAUUGACGCUGAUGCACGAAAGCGUGGGUAUCAAACAGGAUUAGAUACCCCUGUAGUC